rnacentral:rRNA from 1 species
UACGUAGGGGGCGAGCGUUGUCCGGAUUCAUUGGGCGUAAGAGCUCGUAGGCGGCUUGGCAAGUCGGAUGUGAAAACUCCAGGCUCAACCUGGAGCCGCCAUUCGAUACUGCUAUGGCUAGAGUCCGGUAGGGGAGUGUGGAAUUCCCGGUGUAGCGGUGAAAUGCGUAGAUAUCGAGAGGAACACCUGCGGCGAAGGCGGGUUGCUGGGCUGACACUGACGCUGAGGCGCGAAAGCUAGGGGAGCGAACGGG